GGAGUCGUGGCUGAGUGGUAAAGCACUUGCAUAGCACGCAUGAGCCACUGGGUUCCAUCCCCGACACCA
rnacentral:tRNA from 1 species